AGGGGAGGGGAGAAGCAGCUGUCCCCGGGCUGCCUGGGAGUCACUGGGGAGUCCUAGCCCGCCCUUGGGCCUAGGGCUCCCUGAUGCGGCCUCCACUCUUCGCAGGGCCAGGGGGCGAGGAAGGAGGAGGGAGGGAAGAGGGAAGCUGGGGAGUGGGAGAGCGUCCUCCACGACCGCUUGGGUCCUCCGCGGGGCAGCCUCGGGGAGGGUGGCUGCAGGGCCCGGAGUCGCCUGGAUCGCAGCGCCAUCUCGUGGCUGCUGGCAGGUCUGCCUUGGGCCCUCUUGGCACAAGGCAAGGAAACAGGAGCUCUUCCCAUCAGUGACAGGUGCCCGCCGGCCCGCACCCAGGAGAAUGCUCCAGUGUCACCAGUGACUCCUGCUCCCACAUCUGCCUACAGGAAGCCCUCUUGGAACAAAAGCAUCUCACUUCUGGGAGGCAUCAAGUCAAGGGAGAAGCAGUGAUGUUUUAGUAUCCAGAAAGUGGAAAUAACCCAAAUGCCCAUCAACAGCAGAAUGAAAUUGUACUAUAUUCACACCAUGGAAUAUUGUAUAGCAAAGAGAAUGAAUGAACUAUUAACAGAAAAGACAUGGACAAAUCUCAUAAACAUGAUGCUGAAAGAAACCACAGUCAAAAAAGAAGAUGCUUCCCAACCUUUUGCAGACCAUGGCAUACGCAGAAAAUGACAACAUCGGAAUGGCACACUGGCAUACCAGUUGGGGAUCCUUGCAGUCAAUGCUGACUGGACUCAUCCUUCAGCCGCCCCCAAGAAGAGAGAGAUCAAUACCUUGGCACAUCUGUGGGAAAGCUCCCAUUAGAGAGUGUGGGGAAGACACAGGCCUCCACAACACAUUUCAGGUUCUCUAAACUGGCAAAGGGGAAGAGUCUGGGCUUCCUUUGCCCUUUUGUUCUCAAAGAGCCCAGCUGUGCACACCCCUCACCCCUGCACUAUAGCUCCCAUUUGGGUAGUGAAAAAUCACAGGACUCAGGGGAGUUAUGCAGCAUUCGGGAAUGGAGACCUGGAAAGCCACACACUCCUCCUUGCUUUCCUGUGAGCCUCUCUUCUUGCUGUCCCCUUUACAACCAACAGUCCCUGCAGGGGGAAGACACUCUGCUUUAGUCAGUUCCACCUCCCUUCCAGAUCUCAUCCUCCUUUCAGCCUAAUUUUCCUCACACUGUCAUGCUCCUUCCCACUGCUCGCCCCCCACCCCCUACUCUCCUCCAGCACAUCACACAUUGCGCCUGGGCACACUGAGCUUGUCUGCCAUCUAUGAAGAGGCCCAUGUCACCCAAGCCCUUCUCUUUCCCUGUCAUGCCAUAGCCUCUUCCAGGAGCGCUCAGCCUGCUGUUUCUGCUCAGACCUCCCCUCCUCUGCAAAGCCUCCUUCUGCGUGCUGCCCGAGAGCCAUCCCCCACUUGGGUUUGUGUUACUGCUGUGUAUGGCAGCAUCUUCACUGUGCCUGAUUUCCCGUCUUGGCCCAUCGUAGGUGCUCAACAAUUGUUUCUCAAAUGACCAGCGCCUGCAGAGGGACCCUGACAUGAACUCCACCCCACCCCGACUCUUGGCAGUUACUCACUGUCCCCUUGAGUCGGGAUCCCAGCCCCUCAGGGGACCUGUCUUGCAGCCAUUCCACGCUCUGUCACCCCACUGCCAGGAGACUAGAGCCACACUGCCUGGAUGACGCUCAUCUUUACCAGCUCGCAGCUCUGCCAGCUGCCUGCUCAGGGGUGGCCGCCAGCUGAGGGAUUGAGCUGAUUAUAGGUGAAUCAGCACCAGGCUGAUUGUGGUGUGAAAAAGGGGAAGGGUGACUGUGUCUUAGCCUCAAUCCUGGCUCCCCUCCUUCCAGCCCUGACCUGCAGUAACAGCACAGGGCCACCAGAGGCUCUAUUGGGCGACUCAUGCCCCGCGGAGAAAGGCCCAGUAGGAGAGCAUCUGACCCAGUUCCCAGCAGAUGAGAAAGGAAGAAGAGUUCAGGAGGCUUCUACUCUCAGAGGUCUCCAGCACUGAAACCCCGCAGCCGCACCUGGCUGCCUUAUCCUUGUGUUUUGCCCCUCAUGGGUCUAGAAGCUGUUGUGUUACACCUUAACAUCUUCCUCCUUGCUUGCCAUGAGCCCCUCUGCUUGCAGCCCCCUUUACAGAACAACAGUCAUGGUAGAGGGAAGAUGUCUCCACUUUUGUCAGUUCUGCCUCCUUUAGGAGAGUGUCAGGCCUAACCCAUGUGUGCUCUGUCUUUCAGGGCAUGGAAAAGACUAUUGUCCUGUUUCGUCUUUUCAACACCUCUUGACUCUCUCCCCCUGGUUUCCUAACAGCCAGCUAGGUUCAGGGCCUCCCAUCUCUGGCCAGGAUUAGUGCAAUGGCUUUCUGAAGGGUCCCAGGCUCCAGGGAGCCCCUUGCCCAUCAAGUCUCUACCCUGGAGCCAGACAGCCCUUACUUCCAUCAGACAUCAGCCUCCAGUGGCUCCGAAAGGCCAGGCAUCCACACAGCACCCCACGGCCCCAAGAACUGGCUGCUUGAUUUUCCUGCCCUGUGUCCCUCCUCUCCUUGGCCCUCUACCCAGCAAUCACCCCAAAACACUGUGAUGUUUCAAGCCUUUGUACUUUGCACACAUUCUUCUCCAUGGCCUAAUUCCCUCUCUCCACCCCUCACUCCACACCUCCUCCACCUUUACCCUUUCUCCCCAUUCUUUCUUCACCGGGCACAGCCCUACUUAUCCUUCAAAACUGCCACUUCCUCUGCGAAGCCUUUCCUGACCCGUGUCCCAGAAUCCCUCCUCUGAACAAAUCCUGUUCCCUAAACAUGCAUCUCUCAUUGUAUCUGUCACUCAAGGGUUGCAAUAAUUACACACACGCCUGUCCUUUGUCCUCCACUGGCUCUGUACCUCCAUGUGGGACCCAUGGCCAGCACACAUUGGUGGUGCCCGAAAGCUGUUGCACUGGAGUUGUUCCUUCUGCCCCAUCACCUCCCACCUUGAACAAGUCCUUUAGAUGACCUGAACUCCAGUUUGUUGAUCUGCAAAAUGGAGAGAUGUGAGAAUCAGAAGAGAACACGUAAUGAAAGGGUGUUAUAAACUGCUAAGGGCUGUACAAAUGUUUGUAUUGCAUUUUUGUCUUCCAGACUAGUGUUUACCUACACUUGCCUGUGUGGAAAUCAGAAGAUUAAAGGAAUGCGAUGUGAUCUUUUUGUAAUUUCCCCACUUGGGUCAAGGGAAAAGCUGGUCAAGAGUAAACCAUUAAUUCAUCCCCCUGCAGGCCCCCCAAUCUUCCCUAGAAUUCUGGGUUAAUGAUUCUGAGGUUGUUUUCCUCACAGAGCCAAUUCAUAUCUAAUCUUUGGCAUGUUCCCCCCUUUAUUAAGAAUAACUUGACUCACCCCAUUAAUUCCUCAUCCUGGGGUCACGAGCCUUGUUUUGCAGAAGGAAAUGGUGGCUGUGUGUAUGUCUUGGGCCUUCUUUCUUUCUCAAACCCCUUUCUUUCAUGGAUUCAUGCCUACAAUUCCCUCUGUGGACAGAAGAGACCUCUCCUUACCUGCAUAAUGAAAUGUGUGACUUUUCUCAAAAGUAGCUUUAGGAAUUAACUGUGGAGGUCCAAGUAGCAAGGAUGCUGUGACCUAACUCGUUACCCCCUCACGUGUGGUUUGGAAUCCCAGCAGAAAAAAUUUCCUGAAGAUCUGGUACGGAGAAACCAUUCUGGGCCUGGCUUUUAAAUGUUUUAUUAGCAGCUGGGCGAGGACUGGGCUGCAAAGAGAUGCAGCCCCCGUCAGAAGCGAUCCCUGUUGGGGAGCAAGGCCUGGAAUUCCAGGAGGGAGGUCUGUUUAUAGCUGAGGCAGAGGCUGGGGAGCGAAGCCUGGGAGCCAGACAUGGCUUAAGGGUGGUCUGGACACUCUUGAGAUAAGGCCAACUAAGGACUAUGAGCUCAUUGAAGUUCCAAAGCCAACUCACAGCAGCUCACCACCAGACAUGUCCCCUGCCCCCACAUUCCCUCCUCUCAAUCCAGGAAUUUUGGUGCUCAUCUCUAUAAAGUUUUAGACCAUGGUGGUAGGAACCUGGUAAGUCUCAGGUUCUUGCAUUGCCCGAUUCUCCUUGGAUUUGCUGGGUUUGCCUCCUUCCCAUGUCUCAGACAGGGCUUUGCAUAAAGAAGUGGGCUGGUAGAUCUGCAAAGGUCCCUCUGUGUGACUGGAGCAAGUUACCCUCUUGAGCCUCAGUGUCCUCUUCUGUAAAAUAGGGAUAUCAUUCUUUCUUUCCCAAGGCUUUUGGUAAUAAUGUCAUUCUCAUGUGAUUCUUAACAAAAUGGGCCUUUCAGACUUAGAUCACUUUUGUGCAUGCAUAAAAAUGAAAGCAUUGAGGAGAAGGAAUUGGUGAAUAUAUGUCUGGAGCAAUAACUUCAUCAGAACUGCCACGGUGGUUGUAGGACCAUUCUGAUUCCAGAGGUAUUAAAAUGCAAAACACAAUGUUGAAAUGCAAAACCCAACAAAAUAAUAAACAGCCUUGUACCUACCGCCUCCCUUAAGAACUAAAACAAUUCCCAACACCACUGAAAGACUGUGUUCACCUCCUUGAUCCAAUCUCUUGCCUUUCCACCCCAGAGAAAACCACUGUCCUGAAUUUUUUCCCACUCCCUUGGUUUUGUUUUACCAAACAUGUAUCCAAUAUGUAACAUAUUAUUUGUAUUUGAUCUUGUUUUUGAAUUGUCCUGUAGGUAGAAUUAUAUCUUAUUCUGCAAUUUGCUUUUUAAAGUUUUUGAAAGAGCAAAACUUAUCUAUGCUAAUACGCUAAUGUGUGUAGCUGCCAUUUAUUUGUCACUGCAUAUACCCCUCUCAAUUCUGUUGAUGGAAAUUUAGGCAGUUUCCAGUAUUAUUUUGCUACAAACAUUCUCAUGGCUGUCUCCUGCAACAUGUGUGUUUCUUGGGAGUAUAC
rnacentral:lncRNA from 10 species